UACGUAGGGUGCGAGCGUUGUCCGGAAUUACUGGGCGUAAAGAGCUCGUAGGUGGUUUGUCACGUCGUCUGUGAAAUUCCGGGGCUUAACCUCGGGCGUGCAGGCGAUACGGGCAAUACUUGAGUGCUGUAGGGGAGACUGGAAUUCCUGGUGUAGCGGUGAAAUGCGCAGAUAUCAGGAGGAACACCAAUGGUGAAGGCAGGUCUCUGGGCAGUUACUGACGCUGAGGAGCGAAAGCAUGGGUAGCGAACAGGAUUAGAUA
rnacentral:rRNA from 1 species